GCAGAGAGGUCUUGGGGCCUGAGUGCUUGGACUUCAUUUAUAACCAAAGCUGGAGGGGCAUGGAGGUGGCAGCUCCAUGAAGACAGGCCCAUCUGAGUCCAAAGGGCCUCUUUUUUGCUUUUGUUUUUUUUCCUCCUGGCAAGGAUCUGCAAUGGGCUGAAGCCAGAGUCCUGUAACAUCCCUCCCAAGAAAACUAGGGGAGGAAGCCAGGACCUCAUUGGUUCUGCCUGCAGAUGAAAAGUGCAUAAGGCCUGGAAGGAAAUGAACAAAAGAAGCUCCUGGGCACCUGUCUCCCGCCUGAGCCUCCGUUCUUCUAUUAUGAGAGAAGAGAAGCAUUGUAUGCAUGGGGGAUGGUGAAGAGGCAGCUGGGUUGAGUUUUCUCUUUAGGCAGAAAUGCUCUGCCCAGUCCCAGUGCUUGGACUGGGUAAUACAUGCCUCUCUCACUUUCCCAAAAGUGGGGCAAAGGGCUCUGCACUUUUUGACGCUAGUGGGGGAACAGGGAGGAAACUUGCUUGCAAAAGGGUAUUUGUAUCUCCUGUUUGUGAUGUAUUCACCUCUAGAACAGUCACUCUCAGGAUGGUGUGAAUAUACCUUCCACCUUUGGGGUGGUGGGACUGUU